GACGAACGCUGGCGGCGUGCCUAACACAUGCAAGUCGAGCGAGGAGGAGAAAGCUUGCUUUCGAAUCCUAGCGGCGGACGGGUGAGUAACGCGUGAGCAACCUGCCUCUUACAGGGGGAUAACGCAUCGAAAGAUGUGCUAAUACCGCAUGAGACCACAGAGGGACAUCCCUUAGGGGUCAAAGAUUUUAUCGGUGAUAGAUGGGCUCGCGUCUGAUUAGCUAGUUGGUGAGGUAACGGCCCACCAAGGCGACGAUCAGUAGCCGACCUGAGAGGGUGAUCGGCCACAUUGGAACUGAGAAACGGUCCAAACUCCUACGGGAGGCAGCAGUGGGGAAUAUUGGGCAAUGGGCGCAAGCCUGACCCAGCAACGCCGCGUGAAGGAGAAGGUUUUCGGAUUGUAAACUUCUGUCCUUGAUGAAAAGCAGUAGAUGGUAAUCAAAGGAGGAAGCCCCCGGCUAACUACGUG
rnacentral:rRNA from 1 species